CCAUUAAUAAUCUGGCUUUCAAGGAAAGCCACCACAAGUGGGCUGAUCGUGGAAGAGUGAGUACCCAUUGAAGACAGCUUGGAAGGAACUGAAAAAAGUCUCAUUAUGGCUGUUUCCUGGUUGCUGUACAUUUCCAUGUUCUUGGCAGUCUUGAUGGCUUUUGCUGCACAAAUUCAAGGAAGAGCUAUGGACUUUGAUGAAAUGGAUGACUACAAGCGUGGUAUGCGUCCCUCAAUCAUCAAAUUUCCCUGCAGUCCUUCCACCAUGAAGUGCAUGAAUGGCGGAAAGAUGUUAAAAGUUGUUCCGGGCCCAAACGGAAUGAUCUGCAUGUGCUCUUGCCGCGUGGGCUGGACUGGCCCUAUGUGUGACAGCCCCAAUUAUUUCCUCUGAGCUUUAACAAGUCACUGCAUUUUUUAUUAAGAGGAACUGGGAACAUAUGAAUUGUCUUCACCACGAUUAUAGUUAUAUUAAAUUAAACUGACCAUUUUUAUAUCUAUUGAUGUCAGUAGUCUGGUCUAAUUCAGCAAAUUGUUCUCUACGUGUAUUCAGUGUUAAUUCACUUGAUGGGAAAAGUUGUCCAGAUUGUAUGAACAGCGAAGGAUUUAAUCCCCUUUAAUCUAUUCUCAAAUUUUAA